ACUGAGACACUGCCCAGACACCUACGGGUGGCUGCAGUCGAGAAUCUUCCGCAAUGGACGAAAGUCUGACGGAGCGACGCCGCGUGCUGGAUGAAGGCCCUUGGGUUGUAAACCGCUGUCAGAGGGGAUGAAAUCAUGGUUGGCAAUCCUUCCAUGUUGACAGAGCCUCAGAGGAAGCACGGGCUAAGUACGUGCCAGCAGCCGCGGUAACACGUACUGUGCAAACGUUAUUCGGAAUCACUGGGCUUAAAGGGUAUGUAGGCGGUUUGGAAAGUCAGAUGUGAAAUGCCACAGCUCAACUGUGGCACUGCGUUUGAAACUUCCAGACUAGAGUAUUCCAGAGGUAUGCGGAACUGCCAGUGGAGCGGUGAAAUGCGUUGAUAUUGGCAGGAACACCAGAGGCGAAGGCGGCUCACUGGG
rnacentral:rRNA from 1 species